UGCAGUCGAACGAGUUCUCGUUGAUGAUCGGUGCUUGCACCGAGAUUCAACAUGGAACGAGUGGCGGACGGGUGAGUAACACGUGGGUAACCUGCCCUUAAGUGGGGGAUAACAUUUGGAAACAGAUGCUAAUACCGCAUAGAUCCAAGAACCGCAUGGUUCUUGGCUGAAAGAUGGCGUAAGCUAUCGCUUUUGGAUGGACCCGCGGCGUAUUAGCUAGUUGGUGAGGUAAUGGCUCACCAAGGCGAUGAUACGUAGCCGAACUGAGAGGUUGAUCGGCCACAUUGGGACUGAGACACGGCCCAAACUCCUACGGGAGGCAGCAGUAGGGAAUCUUCCACAAUGGACGCAAGUCUGAUGGAGCAACGCCGCGUGAGUGAAGAAGGCUUUCGGGUCGUAAAACUCUGUUGUUGGAGAAGAAUGGUCGGCAGAGUAACUGUUGUCGGCGUGACGGUAUCCAACCAGAAAGCCACGGCUAACUACGUGCCAGCAGCCGCGGUAAUACGUAGGUGGCAAGCGUUAUCCGGAUUUAUUGGGCGUAAAGCGAGCGCAGGCGGUUUUUUAAGUCUGAUGUGAAAGCCCUCGGCUUAACCGAGGAAGCGCAUCGGAAACUGGGAAACUUGAGUGCAGAAGAGGACAGUGGAACUCCAUGUGUAGCGGUGAAAUGCGUAGAUAUAUGGAAGAACACCAGUGGCGAAGGCGGCUGUCUGGUCUGUAACUGACGCUGAGGCUCGAAAGCAUGGGUAGCGAACAGGAUUAGAUACCCUGGUAGUCCAUGCCGUAAACGAUGAAUGCUAGGUGUUGGGAGGGUUUCCGCCCUUCAGUGCCGCAGCUAACGCAUUAAGCAUUCCGCCCUGGGGAGUACGACCGCAAGGUUGAAACUCNNGGAAUUGACGGGGGCCCGCACAAGCGGUGGAGCAUGUGGUUUAAUUCGAAGCAACGCGAGANNUUACCAGGUCUUGACNUCUUUUGAUCANCUGAGAGAUCNNNUUCCCCUUCGGGGGCAAAUGNCNNNNNNNCAUGGNNNUCGUCAGCUCNUGUCNNGAGAUGUUGG
rnacentral:rRNA from 1 species